rnacentral:lncRNA from 1 species
GCAGCGUAGCUGAACAUCUUACGGAUGGCCCAGGGCUCCAAAGGCUCGUUUCCUAAGUGAGAGAGAGCCUGGCUGAAGCUGUAUUACCAUUCAUUCUCCAGCCUCCGAAGUCUCAAAGCAUCACUUCCACCAUACUCUAACUGUCAAGACAAACACAAAGGCCCAGAAACUGCCAGACUGUCUUCUGAAGUGGCUAUAAUAUUUACACUCCCAUCAGCAGUGUAGAAGGGGUCUCACUAUGUUGUCUGGAGUGCUGUGGUGGAGUGGAGUGGCUAUUCACAGCUGAGUUUGCAGAGUAAACCACUACCCUGAAAUCUGGAAAGGCAGGUGCACCCACAGAUCCUCAGCUGAGAUCCAAUUACCUGAAAUAGAAGCUGCCAUUAGGAACACUUAAAAGAGCCUGUUCUGCUGGGACACAGAAUCACUUGCUCCAUCUCAUACAUUGAUGAUGAUUAAUUUGUAUGUGUACCUUCCAAAAAAGAUGGUUGUGUUUGAAUGGAGGCCUUCUGGACAGGAAAAUAUGGAGAGUGCGUGCUUUGGAUUCAAGACUGGGAAUGAGGGGACCAGAAACCUAUUCUGUGGCUGUUUCUUGUUAGGACUUUCCUAAGCCUCUGGAAAAGUGCAAAGUACAAUUAACAUUUGAGUCUGUCUGAGUCAUGAAGAAAUGGAGAUUACUGAAAAUAAUUCAUUUUGGUAUCUUCUUACAUCCUGAGAGACUAAUCUUUCCAAGUUCAUCUGAGGCUCCUCUUCUCCAUGACAACCUCAUCCAGGGAUUUCUUCCUGUCCUGGUGUUUUAUGACAUAAUCACAUCCUUCCUGAGAUAAUGAGCACACAAUUGCCUGGAUACCUGAAGGAAUGGAGACAGCGGCAGAAAACACUGCAGAGAGGUGGAAACAUCCGUUAAUAUUUUAAAAUCCCAUUACUGCUACCAACAAUAAUAAUGGAUGCAUAGAAAUAGAUCUGGAUUAGCUGAGCUUGAAACAGUCCAUCUCACACACACACAAAAGAAUUUCAGAUACAGUGAACCCACAUGUUGAAGCUUUCUAGUAUAAUAAAAAUUUCAACUGUUCUGUUGAAUCAUCUGCCUGAUUGGAGGCUACAGAAAAGAUGUCAUCUUAGGAGUGCUUGCUCUGAGUGAGGCUCAUCUUCAAAUCUGAAUGACCACAAGGAGAUUUGAUUAUACAUGUGAACACCUCAGAAGGCACAGCCCACCCAGAAGGCAGACAGGUCAGGCUGCUUUUUCUUCAUUGCUUGGAUUCAAUCCUCCGGGCGGCUCAGGCUCAAACAUAACUUAAGCAUGAUUAAACUUUAGAAGAAGCUGCCAGGAAGACUGUGAAAUCUUCAUGCCCAAGGAUCCCUAAAAUUAGGAGCAACAACCACUUGGCUCAGACGGUUUAUGGAGGCAAAGGUUUGGAUGGGAUUAGAGAUUUCUAAAUGUGAGUUCGUGUCCUCUGCCAGACCACCUUACUUCCACCAUUCCUCAGCAAAUCAAGAAAAACAGGAGAAAAGACAUGCCUUUCCAUAAGUUAAAUCUAUUCUGUUUUAAUUCUAUAUUAUAUCUGCUGUACAACUUCUUUUGUUUGUAACACCAUAUUGUUGCUAGUAACUGGAAAUUAAUUUUCACAUGCCUCAGCUUAGAAAAAUAAAAAGCAGCCCUGCAUCAAUCCCA